GGCGGCGUGCUUAACACAUGCAAGUCGAACGGAUUUUACAUGAAGCCUAGCGAUUGUAAAAUUAGUGGCGGACGGGUGAGUAACGCGUGGGUAACCUGCCGUAUGCUGGGGGACAACAGUUAGAAAUGACUGCUAAUACCGCAUAAGCGCACAGAGUCGCAUGACUCAGUGUGAAAAACUGAGGUGGCAUACGAUGGACCCGCGUCUGAUUAGCUAGUUGGUGAGGUAACGGCUCACCAAGGCGACGAUCAGUAGCCGGCCUGAGAGGGUGAACGGCCACAUUGGGACUGAGACACGGCCCAAACUCCUACGGGAGGCAGCAGUGGGGAAUAUUGCACAAUGGGCGCAAGCCUGAUGCAGCAACGCCGCGUGAGUGAAGAAGUAUUUCGGUAUGUAAAGCUCUAUCAGCAGGGAAGAAGGACCCUUCGGGGAGAUGACGGUACCUGACUAAGAAGCCCCGGCUAACUACGUGCCAGCAGCCGCGGUAAUACGUAGGGGGCAAGCGUUAUCCGGAUUUACUGGGUGUAAAGGGAGCGCAGACGGCAGUGCAAGUCUGAUGUGAAAGCCCGGGGCUCAACCCCGGAACUGCAUUGGAAACUGUACAGCUUGAGUGUCGGAGAGGUAAGCGGAAUUCCUAGUGUAGCGGUGAAAUGCGUAGAUAUUAGGAGGAACACCGGUGGCGAAGGCGGCUUACUGGACGAUAACUGACGUUGAGGCUCGAAAGCGUGGGGAGCAAACAGGAUUAGAUACCCUGGUAGUCCACGCUGUAAACGAUGAAUACUAGGUGUGGGUGCGCAGAGCGCAUCCGUGCCGCAGCUAACGCAAUAAGUAUUCCACCUGGGGAGUACGUUCGCAAGAAUGAAACUCAAAGGAAUUGACGGGGGCCCGCACAAGCAGUGGAUUAUGUGGUUUAAUUCGACGCAACGCGAAGAACCUUACCAGGACUUGACAUCCAACUAACGAAGUAGAGAUACAUUAGGUGCCCUUCGGGGAAAGUUGAGACAGGUGGUGCAUGGUUGUCGUCAGCUCGUGUCGUGAGAUGUUGGGUUAAGUCCCGCAACGAGCGCAACCCCUAUUGUUAGUUGCUACGCAAGAGCACUCUAGCGAGACUGCCGUUGACAAAACGGAGGAAGGCGGGGACGACGUCAAAUCAUCAUGCCCCUUAUGUCCUGGGCUACACACGUAAUACAAUGGCCGUCAACAAAGGGAAGCAAAGCCGCGAGGCGGAGCAAAUCCCCAAAAACGGUCUCAGUUCGGAUUGCAGGCUGCAACUCGCCUGCAUGAAGCUGGAAUUGCUAGUAAUCGUGGAUCAGCAAGCCACGGUGAAUACGUUCCCGGGCCUUG
rnacentral:rRNA from 1 species